rnacentral:rRNA from 1 species
UACGUAGGGUGCGAGCGUUGUCCGGAAUUACUGGGCGUAAAGAGCUCGUAGGUGGUUUGUCGCGUUGUUCGUGAAAACUCACAGCUUAACUGUGGGCGUGCGGGCGAUACGGGCAGACUGGAGUACUGCAGGGGAGACUGGAAUUCCUGGUGUAGCGGUGGAAUGCGCAGAUAUCAGGAGGAACACCGGUGGCGAAGGCGGGUCUCUGGGCAGUAACUGACGCUGAGACGCGAAAGCGUGGGGAGCGAACAGG